AAAAACCAAAGCUGCACACACACCGCAUUCAUAAGGCACACUGACACGCUUCGGGAACAACUGAAAAAUCCCACACAUUAACCAACAUCUCUCCCGAGAUCAGUCCUGGACAUACGGAGUGAAUCAUGGCUGGAAUCGGCUUUCUGAAGAUCUACUUCAUUGGAACUGCGUUUUCUCUUCUGGUGGCUCUCUUUGGUCUGGUUGACUCUUUUGGGGGUCUGAUGUUUCCUCAAGGAUCUGGCCAUGCAGACGACAACUGGACAGAGAAACACGCCCCAUCACGGACUGCUGCUGCUGCUCACACGAUACGAAUAGGAUCGAAAUGAUCUUGUAUGUUCUUCUCUCUAUCGAGAGCAGGUCUGCAGUUGCACUAGGAGAAAUACUCGGUGUGUUAAGGUCACUGACCAACUACUUAUGUACAGUUUGGAAAAUAUGUCCCCUAUUACCCUACUGUGAGUAAUGAAGAACACCUGAUGUGGACUGGUACAAACAGAUCAGAUGUGAUGCAAUCUGUUACAAUUCUUGUUUCUGUAAAGAGCUUGUCUUGCAUUAUACUACACUGCAAAAAGUGGAUAUGUUGUUACUCUUUUGUGUAACCUACUGAAGUUGAUUCAGCCAUAUUAAAUAAUAAUUUUGACUUGAAUAAAGCCAGUUAAUUUAGAUGCAAUCACAUGGAGCAAUUUUAGCAAGUAACAUUUGAUGAAGUGUAAAAGACAUGAGGCAGCUGCACCAGAAUAUACUGUGCAAAGAACACUUGUGCCAGUUAUAAUAGUUAAAAAUUCACUGUAAAGAUAUAUAUAUAUAUAUAUAUAUAUAUAUAUAUAUAUAUAUAUAUAUAUAUAUAUAUAUUACAAAUAUGCUUUAUAUGAACAUAGAGUACGCUGGCUACUGUAAAAAAUUGAUGUCCUUCUAUGACCAAAUAAACGUGUUGCAAUGUGUCUCACAGUAAAAUAAUCUUUUUCUGAUGUACUGUGAGUUACUCUGAUAGCAGGAUGCAGGUUUUCUUGUUUUUACAUCUUUUAUUUUAUUGUUUUUGCUUGUUUUUUAUGUUGGUACAAAAGGUUCAGAUUCUGUUUCCACAGUGUGUGUAUAUAUAUAUGUAUAUAUUCUCAUGCAUUUUGGAGUCUGAAUGAUAAUACGUUGACCAACAAAAGUUGUUCCUUCACGCUGUUUUAUAAAUUGAAAAAACUAAAAAUAAAGCACUUAUAAAAAAAAAUCA